UCCUCAUGGAUACUAGUGGGAUUUGUUUCCACUGCGCCACAACAGGAACUCCCAGUCUCAGUUUUGAGAACAAGGAAACUGAGGCUUAAAUGGUGAGAUGACUCAUCAGAGUCACAGGCAGGAGUGAUGCCCUGAACAUUUAACCCGGAGGGCGGCAGGAUUAUGCCAUCAGGACAGACAGGCUGGUGCCCUGGACUGAUGGGGACCAGCCGAGCAUCAGGGCCAAUCAUCUGGUCAUUCAUGAAACACUUGGGAGCAGCUGCUUUGGGCCUGGGAGGCCUGGGCACCCAGAAAUGGCCCAGACAAGCCUGAAUUAGAAGCUCACUACCCGAGAACUUGGGAUGUGACAUCAGCCUGGGGUUAGAAUCCUCAGUCUAGCUAGAGAGCUUGGGCAAGCAUUCCUGGGACUCUUACAGCCUCAGUUUCCUCAUCUAUAAAAUGGGGAUAAUACUUCUUAUCUCCUCACCAGAUCUCGCUGAGGCUUCAAGAGGGCUAAACAGCCUGGACCAGAAAACUCAUACCAUGGAGAUACAAGUUGUUUGAGGAGUCUUGGCAAGUCUGGGCCUCUCCCAAGUCUGGGGAGGUGGCUGCCCACUGCUGCUGACACUUGUCCCCUGACGCACAGAGGGACACCCUCCAGAGAGCUGGUGCCACAGCACUUAUUCACGUUUCAAAGGGACAGCUUUGCUCCCCACCCCGACAGAGAACAAACAAACGCAACUAACUGGAUUCCAUGGUCAGAUAGCAAAACAUCCACCACCAAGACUGGUUGGCAAAGGCAACAGAGGGCACCUUGUCCCUGAAACACCCCGCCCCUGAGACAGGCCACCUCUGUUGUCAUAGGCACACGGAGUCAACAUGCAACCAAAUCAAAAGAGCCAGCGGUUCUUAGUUUUCACAGGAGCCAUGGUUUUAUAUAUCGUAUAUAUAGAUUCAUAUAAACAUUAUAAUAUAUGUAUGUACACAAAUUAAGUAUGAGCCAGCUUGGGGUUCUGGCAAACGUGGCUCGUGAACGGGACGGAAGCCAACAGCACUUGUCACAAAGCACAGGUGUCAGCACUGAAACUGGAACUGCCUGUGCCUUGGUGAAAUCGCCAUGGAGCUUUUUGGAAAAGAAAGCAAGCUUCACAAAGUGUGAUCCACACCCAGGCCUGGGAGAUGAGGUCGGUCAGGCUGUGGGAAAGGGACCGUCCCUCCAGGUCACCAGGUCAGGGACAACUCCGGAGGCAGAGGGGAAAUGCAACCACUUCUAGAAAAGGCCCCAGAUGGCCUGGUGGUCAGAACUGGAAGGAAGAAGGCCCGAGUGGCUCCAGGCCAACAGGCCGCUUUGCUGUGACCCACGUGUUCAAGCAGGCUCAUUCCAGGAGCUCAGAGGCCGUGCCGCGCAGAGGCGGGCAGAGGCCCAGGGCCGGUCUGGAGGCUUUGGCCUCAGCAUCUCGCUCAGGCUCUGGCCUGGGCAGUGAGGGCGCGGCCCGGCACCAGGGAGGCAGAAGCCAAGGCGGAUACGCUCCUCUACCCGCUGGAAGCGCGUGCUCCUGCAGCACAGCCAGCUCCCCGCUCUCGGAGCUCAGGCGCCCUUGAGCCGAGGCCUGGAACAGGGCAGGAGCUGCAGUGGAUCCCGCCAGGUGAAGGGAUCAACUUAAACCACGUCCCAUAUGGCUCCUGGGGACUCCAGCUGCCUCUGCCUCCUGCAAGUGGCGCUGGGUGACCUCAGGCCCAGCCCCACCCACCCCGGGCUGCAAACCCAGAGGCCACUGUGCUGCCAAGGGCAAGGACCUCCCCUGUGCUCUCUGGGGAGGAGACAUCCAGUGGCUACCCUCAGCUGCAACUUGGUGUCUGUGGGACCACAUCAUGAUGGAAUCUGCAAGCAGAACUUAGCCCAAGGCCUCUGCUCCAGGUCGCCUGGGGCAGUUGCAAGCGACCCUCUAAACCGACCCAAGGGCUCAGGCGAGAUGUGGCCCUGCCACGUGCUCCUUGAGACCUUCACGUCAGAAGAGCCUUCAGCAGCCCUGGCCACUGACCACCCCCCGACCGAUGUCGCUGGGCCAUAAACCCCAACGGGCCCCCCAGCUGGCAAACAGCAGCCUGGGAAGGAGAGUCCCAACUUCCCCCGGGGUCCCAGCUGGGCCGGAUCCAAGCGCCACACCUGCACACCACAGCGGGCCCUUCCCACAGGCCCUCAAAGGUUCUGAGACUGAGAAGAGGCAGCAGCAUCAAGCCCUGGGAAGAGGCUGCAAAGGUCAGGAGGAUCUCAGGGGGUCUGUCUUUCCGUGAUGCGGAAGCCCCAAGGCUGGGGACACGGAGGGCGGGGGUGGAUCGUUCCGUGGUGCCUCCUUGCUGCCCACAACCUCUCUCCUCUCUAUGCUCCCUGACACAGCUGUCCCCACUCUUACUGUCUGCUGGCUGUGGUCACCAGCCGGGGAGAGGCCACCCAUGCCCUUGAGGGUGGCCGGUCCCUUCCUCCCAGCCGUGCAGUUCCAGAGCCUGAAGAAAUCAACCCCGAGCCCCGGGCUCCCACUUCUGGACAAAGCAGAGGAAGGGGUCACAUCCCUGGAACAGUGACUUGCUAUCUGGGCCCUGGACGCCAACAUGUGAGACCCCGAGGGAAGGCCUCGAUCACCUAGGACACGACAUGGCCAGGGGCCCCACCUGGUACGUGACCCCCCGACCUGUCCUGACACAGAUCAGGAUCAGAAUUUUAUCCAGAAAGGUCAAGCAAGCUGUUUUAUUAAAAUACUAGAGGCGGGCAUCAACUUUCAGCAACAUUUUGUAAACACGUGAAAUGCAGAUUGAUUUCAGUAGUUUAUUUUGGAGACAAAGCAGUGCAAGAGGCUGGCCACAUGCCUUCCCGCUUCCCCGGGGCUCGGGUUAGGCUGGGAAAGGCCAUGUCCAGACAUUAUAAUCGGGGUUCAACACUCAAGUCGUGUAAACACGGUGGUCGGCAGGCCCUCGGGUUCUAGGACAGCCGGGCAGUGCCGACGGUGUCCGCCUCUCACGCCAGCCGCUCCUUCCCGGCGUGAUCCCCACGUCCCUGCUGACCAGGCCUGAAGGUGCCUCCGAGUGCCCAGCCCAGCUGCCUACUCCUCUUUCCCAGGGUCAACUGAAAGCUGAAGACACAGACCACGCUCGGGGAUCCCAUGCAUCCCGCCAGGGAGGCGCACUGUCCGAGGACUGGCCGAGCCCCUCACGGGUCCCCUUCUCUGCAAAGGGGGCUGCCGGCCAGCCUGGACCGUGGGAUCCGGCUGGUCAGCCGGUGGUCUGUCUGCUGCCAUCAAGGGUCAGGGUGACUCCAGUGGCGGCUGGGGUAACGUGUCUUCUCCCAUCUGGGCUGCAGCCCCCUUGCACCCAGCUGGCUUGGUGCUCGGGGCUGGCAGUGAACACGGAGGGGUGGAGCGACGGGCAGCCUCCUCCUGCCUGGGAAGAGGGCUCCCAACUGCCUCGAUGCCAAGGGGAGGCUCAUCCAGGUUGACUUCACGGAGAAACAGGCUGAAUUGCAGGACCUGGGCCUCAAGCCUGCCCUGGAGUUCUCUGGUCUUGACGGCCCAGCAACCCCUGGAAUGGUCUGCCCAAAGUCACAGCACAAAGCCUCGGCACAGGCAGGAUCGGCGCAGAGGCUCCUAGGCAGGGAGCCUCCUCCCAGGUCCGGGGAGCAGCAGGGCUUCGUCAGGGAGGCCCCUCUGCCGGCCUGUGUGGGACAGGUGUUGAUGGGCCCAGGGGACUCCAGGGAGCUGGAGAGGCUGCCAAGCCAGGGCAGGGGCCUUGUCCAGGAAGCCGUCUCCUGCAUGUCCAUGAGCAGCCAGGGGGUGGGGCACAGCCCAGGCUCCUGGCAUGGAAUCCCCAAGGACUUGGUAGCUGGGGCCUCACGUCGCCUCUGGCUCACGCUUUUGGGAGGGGCAGCUGCACCCUGGGGCUUUUGGCCGGGCCUGGGGGCUUGGAGAGGAGGGAGACGGGGAACCGUUCGCUUGCUCUGCUCAGCUGCCAACAGCCUGACCAGGGACAGCCUCUUCCGGGGUCCCCAGGGCCUGGUCCACAGCAGCCAUUGAGAAAAACAGACGUGGACGUGCCCAGCCACUCACACACGCACGGCAACCACACACGCACGGCAACCACACACGCACGCCCCACCUCACAUUCAGACCUAGUGUUGAAAACACAAGCGUGUGUAAACUCAGUGAAGAGAGAUCUGCACAGCAGGAAUCAGGCGGGAUUGUCCCUUUUCCUCGAGGCUGGACCGCUUGGGGUGCCUUUCCAUCCCCACCCCCACCCCUCAUUUAGAUCAUGACAUCAGAAAAUCAGGUGAAAAAUUAAAAAAAAAAAAAAAAAAAAAA